UUGAUGCCAAAUAACACCACAUGAGAGCCGUCAUCAAGAGACACCUGCGACAUACUCUGAUUAGUAUUCUAUGCGCCUAUUCAAUAAGUCCGCCUUCAAGCGCAUAGGAUGUCGCCAUUUGCCAGAAGACUAAAAGAGAUAAUGUAAUUCCGUAUUUAUUGCCAGCUUUAAUCUGCCAUAAGAGCACGAUAACAAUACCAGAGGCUACAACUUGAAAAUCUAGAUUUUGCCAACUCGUAAGUAACCAAAGGUAGUUGGUAAUCACCUCAGGAUCACGGAUCAAUGCGAGGCCAGCCACUAUGAACACUGUGCUCGAUUUUUUUUGCAACCUUGAAUUCCAAGAUAUUAUCAUCCAUAGUAAGAAGGGGGUAUGUCUAGGAAACUAAAUGAAUGAUGAAUGGCUAAAUGUUGGCAAUGAAAUUUAUAAUCGCUGGAAAUACCAACACCAUUCCUAUUUAUUGAAAGUAGUAAGAAGUUAGAUAUUAAAGUGCCAAGAACAGUAUUAAUCCAGAGAGCGGAAAUAUUUGGACAUGGAUUAGAACUACCAAGUUAUUUUAUUGAAGAAUUCAAUGCUACUAGAACUCAGGAAUUGUAAUUUUAUCCAAAAAUAUCAGCAAAUAGUAUUUUAUAAUGAAAAUAAAUACUUUAUUUAUAAUGUAAAAUUAUCUGAUCAUUCAUAUAUAAUGUAGAAUAUGUACUAAGAACGAUUUUGUAAGUCGUGUUUUCCAGUUUAAUUAAAAUAAAAGAAUUGAAA